rnacentral:misc_RNA from 1 species
AAAACUAAAAUAACUAUGUAGAUAUAAAUAACUAACCUUAUACUUAACAACCAUUAAAGAAGCUUAAAACUUUAUUUGAUGUUAUAUUAACUAAUGUAUUUUACUAAAAUAAACCUGAAAAUAGUUCAAAAUUAGAAUAAAAAAAUAAUGAUAAUCUAUAGAUUGGGCAAACUAAUCCUUCGUACUAUAAAUUUAACAAAAAACCUAGCAUUAAGCAUAAUUAUCUUAAACAAAUAAGCCC